rnacentral:rRNA from 1 species
CACGUAGGGGACGAGCGUUGUCCGGAUUCAUUGGGCGUAAAGCGCGCGUAGGCGGCUCGGCAAGUCGGUCGUGAAAUGCCGGGGCUCAACCCCGGGACUGCGUCCGAUACUCCCGAGCUGGAGGCAGGUAGGGGAGAUCGGAAUUCCUGGUGUAGCGGUGAAAUGCGCAGAUAUCAGGAGGAACACCGGUGGCGAAGGCGGAUCUCUGGGCCUUGCCUGACGCUGAGGCGCGAAAGUGUGGGGAGCGAACAGG